rnacentral:rRNA from 1 species
CGAAGGCAGCUCACUGGACUGCAACUGACACUGAUGCUCGAAAGUGUGGGUAUCAAACAGGAUUAGAUACCCUGGUAGUCCACACAGUAAACGAUGAAUACUCGCUGUUUGCGAUAUACAGUAAGCGGCCAAGCGAAAGCAUUAAGUAUUCCACCUGGGGAGUACGCCGGCAACGGUGAAACUCAAAGGAAUUGACGGGGGCCCGCACAAGCGGAGGAACAUGUGGUUUAAUUCGAUGAUACGCGAGGAACCUUACCCGGGCUUAAAUUGCAGUGGAAUGAUGUGGAAACAUGUCAGUGAGCAAUCACCGCUGUGAAGGUGCUGCAUGGUUGUCGUCAGCUCGUGCCGUGAGGUGUCGGCUUAAGUGCCAUAACGAGCGCAACCCUUAUCUUCAGUUACUAACAGGUCAUGCUGAGGACUCUGGAGAGACUGCCGUCGUAAGAUGUGAGGAAGGUGGGGAUGACGUCAAAUCAGCACGGCCCUUACGUCCGGGGCUACACACGUGUUACAAUGGGGGGUACAGAAGGCAGCUAGCGGGUGACCGUAUGCUAAUCCCAAAAUCCUCUCUCAGUUCGGAUCGAAGUCUGCAACCCGACUUCGUGAAGCUGGAUUCGCUAGUAAUCGCGCAUCAGCCACGGCGCGGUGAAUACGUUCCCGGGCCUUGUACACACCGCCCGUCAAGCCAUGGGAGCCGGGGGUACCUGAAGUACGUAACCGCAAGGAUCGUCCUAGGGUAAAACUGGUGACUGGGGCUAAGUCGUAACAAGGUAACCA